rnacentral:rRNA from 1 species
ACGAGAAAGGCUCCUUCGGGGGCUGAGUAAAGUGGCGCACGGGUGAGUAACACAUGGGCAACCUACCUCUUGAUCUGGGACAACACUUCGAAAGAGGUGCUAAUACCGGAUAUGACCCCGUACUCCUCGGAGUAUGAGGUAAAAGAUGGCCAAUCCUUGGAAGCUAUUGUCAGGAGACGGGCCCAUGGCCCAUCAGCUAGUUGGUGAGGUAACGGCUCACCAAGGCUAAGACGGGUAGCUGGUCUGAGAGGAUGUCCAGCCACACUGGAACUGAGACACGGUCCAGACUCCUACGGGAGGCAGCAGUGGGGAAUAUUGCGCAAUGGGCGAAAGCCUGACGCAGCGACGCCGCGUGAGUGAUGAAGGCCUUCGGGUCGUAAAGCUCUGUGGGGCAGGGAAGAAAACGCCUACGGGAAUAAUACCCCCGGGCCCUGACGGUACCUGCCCAGAAAGCACCGGCUAACUCCGUGCCAGCAGCCGCGGUAAUACGGAGGGUGCAAGCGUUGUUCGGAAUCAUUGGGCGUAAAGCGCGUGUAGGCGGGACAGUAAGUCAGAUGUGAAAUCCCUCGGCUUAACCGAGGAAUUGCAUUUGAAACUCCUGCUCUUGAGUACGGGAGAGG